AUGGAGUUUUAUACACAAUUAUCGCAAGAGAAGAUCAAGAUUACAAACGAGACAACAAAGGGAAGAUUCGAAGAAAAUAAUGAUCCAAGGAAUCCAACAACGAAGCAGACUUUUAGCAAAACAAACUUCUCUUUGUUUAGUUUUAAUGAGCAUCUUCAACGCGGACAACUUGUGAGUAUUGGACUUGAGUCCAAGCAAUUUCAACUGCAAGGACAAAAUUUUAGAAGUGUCUACUGA